AUGGCCCAAGAGGAUCCUGGGAGCACAAGCCAGUCCCUAGAUACCCUUUGGUGUGGUUUCCAAGUGAGCAAGCUGGAGGGCAGCACUUGGACAGGGAGCCAAGAGAUAUGGAGACUGAAAUGAUCAACAAUCAAAUACACAUAUAAUCCCAAAUGGAUGGAGGCCAUCACUGAAAGAGAGGCGCUAUGACCGCAGGGAGAAAGUAGCAAACAGAUUUCUGCCGGCUGCAUCCAUCAGAGGGGAGAUGGGCUCUGUAAACAAUGGCCCGCAGCCUGUCUCCAGCGGACACUGACACACAGACGCCCCUCCCUGCGGGUCCCUGGCGGCAGAGCCUUGCCCUGCCCUGCCUGCUGGGGCCACACUCUCUGCCAAGCCCUGCUCUAGAGCCACAGAGACGUACUGCCCCUCACUGCCCCCUUCUGCAGGUUCCAUCUCUGACUUGACCCAGAAAAAUCAGAAGUGCCAAUGAGCACAAGGAGAUAACUUCCAGUCUUCACCCUCUGACUGAGCAGAAGUCCCAUGAAAAGGCCUGUCUGGAUCCCUGAGGGCCUGGUGCAGACUCAGGACACAGGAAAGGAAUGGAAAGGGAAAGCUGGUUCUUAAGCCUAAGCCCAGCUGUGUCUCCCCUAUUCC
ensembl:lncRNA